rnacentral:rRNA from 1 species
GAUGAACGCUAGCGGCAGGCCUAAUACAUGCAAGUCGAACGGUGUCUUCGGACAUAGUGGCGCACGGGUGCGUAACACGUAUGCAACCUACCUUACAUUGGGGGAUAGCCUUUCGGAAGGGAGAUUAAUACCGCAUAAGACAGUAGCUGGGCAUCCAGCAGCUGUUAAAGAUUUAUCGAUGUAAGCUGGGCAUGCGUCCAAUUAGCUAGUUGGUGAGGUAACGGCUCACCAAGGCAAUGAUUGGUAGGGGAACUGAGAGGUCAAUCCCCCCCACUGGCACUGAGAUACGGGCCAGACUCCUACGGGAGGCAGCAGUGGGGAAUAUUGGGCAAUGGACGCAAGUCUGACCCAGCCAUGCCGCGUGCAGGAUGAAGGCGUUAUGCGUUGUAAACUGCUUUUAUACAGGAAGAAACGACUCUUGCGAGAGGCAUUGACGGUACUGUAUGAAUAAGCACCGGCUAACUCCGUGCCAGCAGCCGCCGUAAUAC